CUGUAAAUUAAAGAGCGUCCCUGAACGAUAGGACCCAGCCCAGGAGUCGUGUGUUGGUAUAUAGUCACUCGAUGGUGAAAUUCAGGACUUUGAUACCCUUCUACUAAACCUCUCUGACACCGCCAGUGGCGUCACGCAAGCGGUCUCUACCUACUGCGGGACGGCGGGCUGUGCGGAGAGGAGGUCUGAGAAACGGCCCUCAUAUUAACACGUCUUCAUGCUGAGAACAUAUGGUGGUAUAAAAGAAAACACACGCCGGUGAAUUCAUUUCGGAACGGAGUCGGUCUCUUCUGCUCCAGCUGCGUUGUCAGCUGGGGCUGAGAUGCUCUUGACUCUGUGGGAGCACCGUGGACCGUGGAGCCAACAGCGUCGCCCUCUGGCCGAUCCGAAUAGGUUCUUUUGCUCCGAGAGCUUUCUGUCACAGUGCGCAGUUCUUACUGAAAGGGCUGAACCGGGAGACAACGUGCCCUGGACGACAUCAGAAAAGAAGGCAAGAGGUUGUUCCUAAGGAUGAGAUAAAGGUCGCUGAAACAACGUUCAGAGGAGAUGUUGUGGGAAUGUCCAAUAUGAGGCCCCCGACACAUCACGUCUUCGCUGCUGCUGUCCGAUUUCAGCAUGAUCCUACCCACCGGAGAGGCGAGGCGGCACACGUCACGCCAACAGUGAGGUCAGCCUGGGGCGCUCUGGCAUGGAGAACCUGGGACUGUCAGAGUAUCAAGAAACAUGAUAUAAAAAUCCUAUAGCUUGCAGCACGGGAUAGGUGACAGACUGACCGAUGACUAUAAUCCCUCCUGCUGGCUGGGUAAAUACAGUUAUCAUCUCUAGCAGGCCAGGCACAGGAUUACUUACAGCCUUGACGUCUCUCGUGUCACACCUUCAAUCUGGACAUCUAAGCCUGUAACGCAUUUCAGCUUCCUCUUUCUAUCUUUAACUGUAGCCACAGACACCUACACUGCACUUCUGCGCUAAAUCUCGGGUGUAUUAUCUCUGCUCCUUAAGCUGAAUUGCUUGUAUCCCUACAGAUCGUGUACCGGAACACGUUUCCUUCGGGCAGCAAUAAUAUGAACACUUUAUUUAAUUUUAAUAACUGUAUUGAUUUCUUUUACCAAAGGAUGCAAUUGCUUUCUUGUACUGGUAAAGUGUAUCGAGCAAGAAUAUAAAAGCUUCAUAUCAUCCAGUACUAAAUUUAGUCCGAUUUUUUUUCUUCAAAAGGAGUCUGUUCCUGAACUGGAUUGGCAUAUAAACGGA